rnacentral:tRNA from 1 species
GCCGGGGUGGCGGAAUUGGCAGACGCGCUGGACUUAGGAUCCAGUGGGCUAAGUCCCGUGCGGGUUCGAGUCCCGCUCCCGGCA